AACUCUUAACAAUGGAUGUCUUGGUUCUCGCAACGAUGAAGAACGCAGCGAAAUGCGAUACGUAGUGUGAAUUGCAGGGCUCAGUGAAUCAUCGAAACUUUGAACGCAUAUUGCGCUUGUGGGUGACCACAAGCACGUCUGUCUCAG
rnacentral:rRNA from 1 species